rnacentral:rRNA from 1 species
UAGGGAAUCUUCGGCAAUGGGGGCAACCCUGACCGAGCAACGCCGCGUGAGUGAAGAAGGUUUUUGGAUCGUAAAGCUCUGUUGUAAGUCAAGAACGAGUGUGAGAGUGGAAAGUUCACACUGUGACGGUAGCUUACCAGAAAGGGACGGCUAACUACGUGCCAGCAGCCGCGGUAAUACGUAGGUCCCGAGCGUUGUCCGGAUUUAUUGGGCGUAAAGCGAGCGCAGGCGGUUUGAUAAGUCUGAAGUUAAAGGCUGUGGCUCAACCAUAGUUCGCUUUGGAAACUGUCAAACUUGAGUGCAGAAGGGGAGAGUGGAAUUCCAUGUGUAGCGGUGAAAUNGUAGAAUAUAUGGAGGAACACCGGUGGCGAAAGCGGCUCUCUGGUCUGUAACUGACGCUGAGGCUCGAAAGCGUGGGGAGCGAACAGGAUUAGAUACCCUGGUAGUCCACGCCGUAAACGAUGAGUGCUAGGUGUUGGAGGGUUUCCGCCCUUCAGUGCCGGAGCUAACGCAUUAAGCACUCCGCCUGGGGAGUACGACCGCAAGGUUG